AUUGAACGCUGGCGGCAUGCCUUACACAUGCAAGUCGAACGGCAGCACGGGAGCAAUCCUGGUGGCGAGUGGCGAACGGGUGAGUAAUAUAUCGGAACGUGCCCAGUAGUGGGGGAUAACUGCUCGAAAGAGCAGCUAAUACCGCAUACGACCUGAGGGUGAAAGGGGGGGAUCGCAAGACCUCUCGCUAUUGGAGCGGCCGAAAUCAGAUUAGCUAGUUGGUGGGGUAAAGGCCUACCAAGGCAACGAUCUGUAGUUGGUCUGAGAGGACGACCAGCCCCACUGGGACUGAGACACGGCCCAGACUCCUACGGGAGGCAGCAGUGGGGAAUUUUGGACAAUGGGCGCAAGCCUGAUCCAGCAAUGCCGCGUGCAGGAAGAAGGCCUUCGGGUUGUAAACUGCUUUUGUCAGGGAAGAAAUCCUCUAGGUUAAUACCCUUGGGGGGAUGACGGUACCUGAAGAAUAAGCACCGGCUAACUACGUGCCAGCCGCCGCGGUAAAAC
rnacentral:rRNA from 1 species